rnacentral:tRNA from 1 species
AUAUGGGUGCCAGAAGUUGCUAUGGGUCAGUUUUAAGCGCUGAAUAUGAAGUUUUUCCCCGUAUA